ACAAGGACUUCAGUGGCCUAGCUUCUUUCAGAGCUUGGCCUAUCGGAAUAACCCCCCAAGUCAUGUUAGGAUCACCGGCAUUGGUGAAUCCAAGCAAGAUCUUAUCGAAACAGGUGAGAGGCUAGCUGGAUUUGCCAGAGCAUUAAACCUACAGUUCGAGUUCCAUCCAGUUGUUGACAGAUUAGAAGAUGUCAGAUUGUGGAUGCUCCAUGUCAAGGAAGGAGAAUGUGUGGCUGUAAAUUGUAUAUUCCAACUGCACAAGAUGCUCUAUGAUGGCAGCGGAGGGAUACUUAUGGAUUUCAUGGGAUUACUUCGCAGCACUAACCCCACAGUCGUUGUCAUGGCUGAACAAGAAGCAGACCACAAUUGCCACAGAUUAGAAUCCAGAUUUUACAACUCACUGAAAUAUUACGGUGCCAUUUUUGACUCUCUUGACCUUUGCCUUCCACAAGACAGCUUGGCCAGGAUCAAAAUCGAGGAGAUGUUUGCACGCGAAAUCAAAAACAUUAUUUCUUGUGAAGGCCGCGACAGAUUGGAGAGGCAUGAAAAUUUUGGGAAGUGGAGGAAGUUGAUGGAGACGGGAGGGUUUCGUAACAUAGGAAUCACUGAUAGAGAAUUUCUUCAGAGUCGAAUGCUGCUGAAAAUGUACUCUUUUGAUAAUUUUAGAGUGGAAAAGCAGCAAGGCCAUCUUGAUGGCUGUAGUGCACUUACUCUAAACUGGUCUGAUCAACCCCUUUACACAGUUUCAGCAUGGGCGCCUCUUGAUAUUGCAGGAAGCUCCGCAUCUCACUCACAACCAAGUUAAUUUGAUUAACAUCAUCGUCUUCAUCAUCACAUUUUUAUUCACACAGUUAUAGAAAAUUCUUUGUAGGCACAGAAAUCCGUUAUCAUUUUUUUUAUUCUUUUGUCGCAGAUAAGAUAUGUCCUGAGAUUUAGAAUAUUAUAGUAAAGGCUUUGGCUCUAUGGUUCAGUUCAAAUUCUAGCUUCCGGGAGUCUCUAAAUAUAUCUCCAAAAUUCAUGUUUAUUCUUUGAUUUACUCCAUGUAAAUUCUUUGAUUUACUCCUCAUGUUUCUUUUGUUGCCGGAUAUAAUUUUUCUGCAAUCCACGGAGCUCAACCGGACGCGUUUGUCUAAUUAAAAAAAAAAAUUACUCAUUAUUUAGAGAGAGAAAACUUAAAAAUAUUAUUUGAAGUGUAUCAACAAGCUUAUUAUUAAUUUACAACUUUUUUGUACAGAAGUAACAAAUUAUUAUAAACUAUUAUACUAUAAAUUCAAAUUUUAAAAUCAAAAUAGUUAUUAAAAAAUUAGAAUUUCUAAAUUCUUAGAUUUCGGCGAUUAACUAAAUUACAAUAAAAAUAAGGUGAUCACACACCGUGAGAUUUGAAGAAAUAGAGCAGAGAUUUCUUAAAGUCUCUUCGAAGCAGAAUCUCUUAUAUUGAUAACCAAAUUUAGACGGUAAGCAAUUGAAUAUAUUUUCUCGUCAAUUCUGUAUCCUUCAAUGCAGAAUGUAAUGUCAACAUUCGAAAAAAGUCGAGCACAACUUCGAAGAGUAUAUAUAUGGAAAAAUAUCUCCAAUUACAUUGGCUAGCUAAUAUUUCUUGCUACAGAGGAUUUCAAUAAUUUAUAACAAACCCAAAUGGUAAACAGCCCAGAAACUCUUGGCUAGCAAAUGAUUGUACUGUAGAGUAUUCUUGAUAUUACGUUUGUUGUUCACUGUCAUUGGAUCGUCGAUAUGGCAUAAAUCUGUGAUCCUUGGCAGCAUUCUUUUUCCUCCUCUUCUCAAUGAAGGACUCGAGCUUGCCAGAUUGCUGACAAAUGACCAAGAAAAAGAUUCAGAUAAAGAAAAUGUACUGCAUUUUACCAUUACAAUGGUUGAUAGUAUUCAGAAACAUACCUUGAGUUCCUUGUAUUUCUCUAUAAGCUUCUGCUUUCGAAUUUCAGCUGCAAACCAUAGUAUUGAUUUUAGUCCAAUUCAUAUCUUGUCUAUCUCUAUUUUCAUUUUUUAAACACAUAUGCCUUUAUAUUAUGGUAUGACAACAUAAAUUCAACAGGAAUUUUGAUGGAAACAGAUAAGCGGAGAAAGGAUUACAUUUUUUCAAAUAGAAUGGCUGCUUCCCUUGUUUUGCUGCUUCUCUCUCUUUCUUCUUAUGCUCAGAAAGAAUCUUUUUAUCAGUAUUCUUUGUUGAGGCGGACUUUAGUUGUUUAUCCUGGCAUAGUUUAUAAAUCACAUCAACAUUACAAUUAAUUCAUUAGCACUUUAUCAAAUUCUAGAGUGAACAAAAAGUAUCAGCUAGAUCCAUUCAGCAAAAUAGCUGUUUUUAUCGUGAAAUGGUACUUACAACCCAAGUCAUCCGAUUUUUCAGUUCAUCCAUGGCAUUUGAAUCUUUUGUUUUCUUCAUUAAUUUCUUCAAUUCCUGCCAACAAAAAAAUAAUAUAUAUUAUUGUUGGCUAAAUUGGCAUUAACAAGAUACUUUAGGAUGCAAUCUUUUAUAUGUUCUCUCCAAAAACAUACCUCUUUUUCUGCUGGAAGUUCACGCUCAUACAAAAAAUUAUAUCUUUUCUUGAACCUAAGAGAUUUUGAAACAAGUUAAUUAUAUAAUCUCUGUUCGAAAUACAAGCCUUUUAACUUCUCGAAAACUACAGUUGAGAAAGACAAACAUGAUAACAUUAAUCAGCUACAUAAGCCUACAAAUAUUAUGUCGAUAAACAAAUAAAAAAGUAAAAUAAGGGACGGUAGUACUGAAAAGUAUAUGGAUUUUAUGUCUUUACACCUGUGCCCACUAAAAUGACCCAAAUUAUCAUAAAAUUUUAUGCUUAAAUGCUUGUUCUAAUGUCCACUCAGCUACUGGUAGAUAUUCUCUAGCUAACAACAAAUAAAUAUUUAAUAAGAAUAUAUAUUUCGCUUUCAGCACAGACUAAAACCUACAAUAUCCAUAGAAUAAUAUUGCACAUAAUAAUGUAAACAUUGUUUCAGCUAGUAAUAAGUAACAAACAAGGGAAGAUAGUACACAUAAUCAUGUAAACAUUGUUUCAGCUAGUAACAAGUAACAACCAAGGGAAGAUAGUACAGGUAAGAAAGAAAGCUGCUGUCAACAGCCAAACAAUGAACUCUUUAGCUAUGUAGUCAAUAUGUAUAGACGUGAGGAUUUAAAAGAAGAUGAAACAUGGGUCUAAGGUGAUACAGAGGAAUGAUGGGAAGCAUGGGCUUUAGUGUCUUACCCGUCCACAUCAAGUUCGCCACAUAAUGUCUCAAACCGGGGAUCACGCACAGCCUAUUAAAAACAAAACACAUUAGUCGAAAUGAAUGAUAUGACAAGCCUCAAUCAUCUUCUUUUUUAUCGUAAUCAAAAUUUGUAACAAAUCAAGUCUGAGAGACCAACAACAGUCUUCUCAGUAAUGUAAACUAGCUGUCAAUGGACUUGCGUAGAUAUAAUAAAAAGAGACCCUGUUAAUGAGAAUUUGUAUUAGAACUAAUUCCCAGUCCCAUCAAGUGGGUUGAAGACUUGAAGUGCCAUGAUCCAAACGGCCGCAGAUAGAAACUAAUUUCUAUUUAGGCCAUCCUCUAUUCCAGACUAAAGAAGCUAUUCAAGGGUGUGUGCGUAAGAAAACAUACUUAUUCAAAAAUGUAAUAAGCAUUCAUAAUCAGUAGCUUCCAAUAGACCAAAUUAAAAAAUAAAAUUUUCCAAUCCAACUAGCACAAUACUACACACAUAAUCACAUCAAACAACUGGAUCAAUAAUCAAUAUAACAUUACUCAACAUUAAAAUUACACUGGCCAACUAACCUUCUUAGGAACUUGAAUAACUUCUCUAAAUCUCGCAACAGGUUUUUUGCUAGUGACUUCCAUCGGCCUUCAAACAAAUAAUUACAAACUAUCAACACUUUAAUCGUAAACCACACAACCAAGAAACAGAACAAAGUAAAUUCCCAAAAUCAACCUGUUCUUAUUAGCCCGACUAGUACUUUUCUGAGAAUUAGGCUUCUGAUAAACAGUAUGUGACCCGUCACACCGAGCUUUCUGCAAGUCCUCAAAUGUAACAUCAGCAAGCUCCCUCUUUAUAUCAUCUUCCUACAAACCUCAAAUUUACGAUUAUAAGCACAAAAUCAGCUAUAUCAUUGAAAAUACAAAUAUGGGUGCUUUAAAUUUCAUACUUUAUUGCAUAAACAUGCACAUCAAUGUGUAAAGUACACAAACGCAACUAUAUCAAAGCAAAUACAAACAUGGGUCUAUCAAGAUUUAUACAAAUACAAAUCAAUGUGCAUAUUACAGAAAUUACAGAUACCUACAAAUACAAGCAUGGGUUUAUCAAGAUUCAUAUUUUAAUGCAUACAUAAACAAAUUAGUGUGUAAAUUGAGGUUUAUAUAUACAAACAUAUAGAUACAGAAAUUAGAGAUACUUACAUCUUCAGAGGACGAUAAAGAUUGGUUUUUUUUAUCAUCUUCAUCGCUAUCGGACUCAAACUUGAUUUUAGAUGAAGUGGGCUUGGCAAACUCAGGCUUUCUCAUCGUGAUUCGGGUUUGAUUAAGCUUUGUAUUUGCCCAAAAUCAAGGAAAAGAGGUCAAGUGAAGGAUACUAUACAAGUACGUUAAACCCUAAUUCGUUCGUACAUGUUCCCCAUUAAUGGGUUGACCCGUACUCCGACCCGAUCAUAUUUUUGUGAUUUUUCAAUUUUUUUAAAGGAAUUUUGAGUAUGAAAUUGAUGAAAAUAUCGGAUUUUGGAGGGCGGAAAUAACAAAAUACUAGUGAGUUUUGGAUAAGUUAACAAAAUACAGAUUUUUCAGAAAUAAAAUUUGACAUAUCUUCAAUAAUUUAUAUAUUAAAUAAAAGAUUCAAUUAGUUAUUUAAAUUGAAAAUUCACAAUUUUCGUAUAAUGUUUAUACCUUUUUUUGAAUUGGAAAAAUGAAAAUAUGUUAGAACAAACAGAUAUUUUAAAAAUAACUCGUGCUUGCAUCAUCUUUAAUCUAGAUAUUAUUAAAAGAAAUGGUUAUUUGAAUUUAGGGAANNNNNNNNNNNNNNNNNNNNNNNNNNNNNNNNNNNNNNNNNNNNNNNNNNNNNNNNNNNNNNNNNNNNNNNNNNNNNNNNNNNNNNNNNNNNNNNNNNNNNNNNNNNNNNNNNNNNNNNNNNNNNNNNNNNNNNNNNNNNNNNNNNNNNNNNNNNNNNNNNNNNNNNNGGAAAGAACCGGUCAAAAGCUUGAUAGUUAGGAAAAAAACUUGUAAUAAUCCUUGUAUUUUUAUCACUCAAUAUUCAUGUAAAAUCAUUUUUUUUGAAAAAUAUAUAUUUAAUUUUUAAUUUGAUUUAGUUUCAUACAAUAUUAUUUAAAACUGACCAAAAAGACUAUUGAAAUGUUGCAUAAGAGUAGUAUGUUGGUAUAUAAUAAUAGCACAAUAACCAGCUUAAUCUAGCUUUGUUCUAGAGACAUCUCAUAUGUUCAGUUUUUGACAUAGUUUAAUCUUAUGAGGCCCAGCAAUUUGUCUAACUUUCUAUGCUCCCACACAAAAAAACAAAUAACAAUAAUAACUUUAAUUAUGAUCAGAACACUAUUUAGUUAGAGUAAAAGAUAAAUUAUAAUUCUCAUACAAUAUUGAGUUAGAGUAAUGAUUAUUUAAUCUUUCUAAAAAUUAACCUCUGAUCCUAUAUAUCCAAUUAUGCUAUCUUUCAAAUUAAUAUAAUAUUAAAUUUUAGAAAAAUUAAAUCAAUAUUUCCAAAAAUGAAACUCAAGAAAGUACAGUAAAUCAAUUUCCUGGAAAUUUCAACAAAAUGAUAAUAAAGUACACAACGGUCAAGUGAAGAAGCAUCGCCCAACAAGCACACUCAACUGGUUUUUUUCUCGAAAAAGCAAAUAAAUAUGUCAUCAAAUAUUACAACGGUACUAUUUCAUUAACGGUCAUGUAGACACUCAAUCUAAACCGUCAAUCUUUACAUCAAACGGUCAUAAAUCAACAGUGACCCAUUUGUACAUGCAAAUGCAAUAGUGUUAUACCAGCUCAAGAUACAAACUUUACCUCAUUUCAUAACACCCCUUCUCCAGUAAACUUAUAAAGAUUCAAGCUUUAUUGCUAAUUAGCUCUUUUGGGUACUUGGGUUUUGUUUUCUUGAUGAUUGUUCUUGAAAGAUUGAAUCUUUAUUUGUAAUUCAACUUUUUGGUACUUGGGUUGUGUUUUGUUGAUGAUUGUUGUAGUUCUUUUGUGCUUUUUUGACUGGGAUUGAGUAUUGAACUUGUAAUGGACUUGUGGAAGGCUUCGAAAGCCGGGAUGGGUCAUUCAUCUUCAUCAGUUUCUCAGUUCUUCAGCUACCCGUUUGAGAUGGAGUUCGAGGUUCAUUCAGCUGAGCAAUUGAGGUUCUUUCUAGUUAAUAUUCACUGAAUGUUUUAAAAUCCGAUGGUCAUUUUUCGGUAGGUUUGUUUUCUUAUACUCCUCUUAAAUUCUUUGAUUCUUUAUUGUGUCUAAUUCUUACUGAUUGCAUUCUAUUCUUUGUUGCACAUAUCAUUAUUUAUCAUUGACAUAGAGACACAAGACUGAUCUUUUUUCACUGAUUUUAUUCGUUAUCUUGCCAUCGGAUUCUAAAUUCUUUUGUUGAACACACACACUCACAGUUUGAUACUCUGCAAUAUUACAUUCUUUAAAUUUAUACAAACUGAUCAUACAUUGCAUAGUUAAUUGACUUUUCUUGAACAAAGAAACAUAUAAAAGAAGUAAUUAAGGUUCGGAAGGCGGUUUAAAGUAUGUUGGCCGGGUGUCCUUCCACAUUAUUGUCUCCGAGGCAUAGAUUGAGGAGUGAAGCAUCUGCGCAAUUUCAAGCUUGUCAUUUUCCUUCAAUGAGCACGCAGAGACUGGAGUUGCCAUGUAGUUUUACGCGGAAAGAGACCUCAAGAUCGCAAUCCAUAAGGCCUGUUGUUAACCUUUCAAUUGAGAAGCCAGCGGAAGCCAGGACGAGUAGUUGUUCCCUCAAGAAAAGCAUUAGUCUUCCACCCUUGACAACCGCAGGUCAAGUUGUAUUUCAUGAUGGUAGAUUAGAGAGGAGAGAUGAGUUCCGGGAUAAAAACAAGAACAGAUUGAAGAGGUUUGCGGAUGAGAAUUUCUUUGAUGAGGAUAUUAAUAGAGCUAAGAAAAUAAGGGGUAGCAGAAAGUAUGAUGAUUCUUCAGAAGGGGGUGAGAACUUAUGCUUAGAUCAGCAUUGGUUUCAUCAGAGCUUUGAGGUCCCAACGUCUGUGUCACAGUUUUCGGGCCUUAAUCCACAACAAGCUCCUUUCUCUCUUGUAUAUUCAGAGGAGGAGGAUACAUGUGUUGCUUCGAGCAAGGUGACUAUUUCUCCUUUGCCAAACAAUCCUUGGGCGGAAUCAGUUGUAACUGAGUUUCCCAAGCUAGGCGAGAGGGAUGUUGAGCCAAGCCAAGCAAUAGCGAAGGAGGCAUCCGAAUCAAGUACAUCCUCAGGGAGUGAUAACAAUUUGGCUAACAGGGUGCAUGACGAUGCCACAGAACAUGAGAUAGGUAAUGUGUCUAGACCACAUAACCCUAAUGGAAGUACUGGUUUUGUAGCAGGGAGCAGUGAUGGCAAUGGGGACCAUGACGGAUUUGAGCUAGUUAGCUUACUCAUGGCCUGUAUCGACGCAAUUCACUUGAAGAACAUUGAAGGAGUUAAUCAUUUUAUAGCUAAGUUGGGGGAACUUGCUUCUCCACGAGGAUCUUCUAUAAGUCGUCUAACAGCUUAUUUUACUGAAGCCAUGGCUUUACGAGUUGCAAGGGUUUGGCCUCAUAUCUUUUACAUUAAUACACCACGCGAGCUUAAUUCAGCUGAGGAAGAAAGUGGCACUGCACUAAGGCUUUUGAACCAGGUUAGCCCGAUUCCACAGUUCAUUCAUUUCACAGCAAAUGAGGUUCUGCUAAGAGGGUUUGAAGGGAAGGACAGGGUUCAUAUAAUAGAUUUUGACAUUAAACAAGGACUUCAGUGGCCUAGCUUCUUUCAGAGCUUGGCCUUUCGGAAUAACCCCCCAAGUCAUGUUAGGAUCACCGGCAUUGGUGAAUCCAAGCAAGAUCUUAUCGAAACAGGUGAGAGGCUAGCUGGAUUUGCCAGAGCAUUAAACCUACAGUUCGAGUUCCAUCCAGUUGUUGACAGGUUAGAAGAUGUCAGAUUGUGGAUGCUACAUGUCAAGGAAGGAGAGUGUGUGGCUGUGAAUUGUAUAUUCCAACUGCACAAGAUGCUCUAUGAUGGCAGCGGAGGGAUACUUAUGG
rnacentral:lncRNA from 1 species